GAUGAACGCUAGCGGCAGGCUUAAUACAUGCAAGUCGAGGGGCAGCAUGGCUGUAGCAAUACAGCUGAUGGCGACCGGCAAACGGGUGCGGAACACGUACGCAACUUACCCAUAACUGAUGAAUAGCCCUCCGAAAGGAGGAUUAAUACAUCGUAAUACUCAUUGGUGGCAUCACCGAAAAGUUAUAGCUCCGGCGGUUAUGGAUGGGCGUGCGGCUGAUUAGGUAGUUGGUUGAGGUAACGGCUCACCAAGCCUGCGAUCGGUAACUGGGGUGAGAGCAGGACGAGCUCCACGGGAACUGAGACACGGGCCCGACUCCUACGGGAGGCAGCAGUAAGGAAUAUUGGUCAAUGGACGCAAGUCUGAACCAGCCAUGCCGCGUGAAGGAUGAAGGUCCUCUGGAUUGUAAACUUCUUUUACAGGGGAAGAAACCCGGAAAUUCUUUUUCGGUUGACGGUACCCUGGGAAUAAGCACCGGCUAACUCCGUGCCAGCCGCCGCCGUAACAC
rnacentral:rRNA from 1 species